rnacentral:lncRNA from 1 species
CUUGCCUCCCAAAACCUCAAAUCAAGCAUAUAUCUCAACCAAAUCAUGCAUACAAGUUCCUAGGGGCCUCAAAACAUCAAAUACCCCAACUACAACACUUCAAACAUACUCAAACAAGCCACAUUGUUCAAAACAUCAAUAUUAACCCAUAACUCAACAUAUAACCUAACAUGCAUUUCUACCCAUAGAUCUUGCAUAAAACUUAUUUAAAACACAUAAGGAGCUUAAGAUCGGCUCUUACCUCUUGAAGAUGGAGAGGGAGACGACCUAAACUUGGAGAUCCACAAAAA